GCCAGAUCAGUCAGAAAAGUACCUGAAUAUGUACAUAAGCUAUAUAAAGAUGAAACUAGAAAUGGUAGAGGCGUACAGGACAUGAGAAAAACGCUUCAGCAUGUCCAUCCAAUUUAUUAGGUAGCAACUCUAACCAAUUAAGCAACAAAUUUCAAGCAUCGAGUAUCAUUAUGAAUGGUCCGACAUUUGAUUGAGCAGAAGCGCAUCCCACACUGCACGCAUGUAUAGGUCGAGGAGAAACCACAAACUGUGCAGAAAUGGCGGCGAGCGAUGGAACUUGGAGGUCCUACCGCUGCUCUUAAAUAGGUUGGCACAUGUGGUGGCAAGGACUCUAGGUUUGCCUCAUUCAAGAGCUCAAGGAAUGAUUUUGGGGCUCUCUUAUUCUCAAGAGCCUUUGCUUGGCGAGUUUUCCGCUUUGUGCCCUUUGGGUACUUCUUAUGAAAUACUUGAUCCUCAUCGUCAAGAGAAG
rnacentral:misc_RNA from 1 species